AACGAACGCUGGCGGCAGGCCUAACACAUGCAAGUCGAGCGCACCCUUCGGGGUGAGCGGCGGACGGGUUAGUAACGCGUGGGAAUAUACCCAGUUCUACGGAAUAGCCUCGGGAAACUGAGAGUAAUACCGUAUACGCCCUUCGGGGGAAAGAUUUAUCGGAAUUGGAUUAGCCCGCGUUAGAUUGGGUAGUUGGUGGGGUAAUGGCCUACCAAGCCUACGAUCUAUAGCUGGUUUGAGAGGAUGAUCAGCAACACUGGGACUGAGACACGGCCCAGACUCCUACGGGAGGCAGCAGUGGGGAAUCUUGGACAAUGGGCGCAAGCCUGAUCCAGCCAUGCCGCGUGAGUGACGAAGGCCCUAGGGUCGUAAAGCUCUUUCAACUGUGAAGAUAAUGACGGUAGCAGUAGAAGAAACCCCGGCUAACUCCGUGCCAGCAGCCGCGGUAAUACGGAGGGGGUUAGCGUUGUUCGGAAUUACUGGGCGUAAAGCGCACGUAGGCGGACUAUUAAGUCGAGGGUGAAAUCCCGGGGCUCAACCCCGGAACUGCCUUCGAUACUGGUAGUCUUGAGUUCGAGAGAGGUGAGUGGAAUUCCGAGUGUAGAGGUGAAAUUCGUAGAUAUUCGGAGGAACACCAGUGGCGAAGGCGGCUCACUGGCUCGAUACUGACGCUGAGGUGCGAAAGUGUGGGGAGCAAACAGGAUUAGAUACCCUGGUAGUCCACACCGUAAACGAUGAAUGCCAGACGUCGGGUAGCAUGCUAUUCGGUGUCACACCUAACGGAUUAAGCAUUCCGCCUG
rnacentral:rRNA from 1 species